GACGAACGCUGGCGGCGUGCUUAACACAUGCAAGUCGAACGAAGAGCGACGGAAGCUUGCUUCUAUCAAUCUUAGUGGCGAACGGGUGAGUAACGCGUAAUCAACCUGCCCUUCAGAGGGGGACAACAGUUGGAAACGACUGCUAAUACCGCAUACGAUCUAACCUCGGCAUCGAGGAUAGAUGAAAGGUGGCCUCUACAUGUAAGCUAUCACUGAAGGAGGGGAUUGCGUCUGAUUAGCUAGUUGGAGGGGUAACGGCCCACCAAGGCGAUGAUCAGUAGCCGGUCUGAGAGGAUGAACGGCCACAUUGGGACUGAGACACGGCCCAGACUCCUACGGGAGGCAGCAGUGGGGAAUCUUCCGCAAUGGACGAAAGUCUGACGGAGCAACGCCGCGUGAGUGAUGACGGCCUUCGGGUUGUAAAGCUCUGUUAAUCGGGACGAAAGGCCU
rnacentral:rRNA from 1 species